rnacentral:snRNA from 1 species
AUACUUACCUGGCAGGGGAGAUACCAGAUCACAAAGGUGGUUUUCCCAGGGCAAGGCUUAUCCAUUGCACUCUGGAUGUGCUGACCCCUGCGAUUUCCCCAAAUGUGGGAAACUUGACGGCAUAAUUUGUGGUAGUGGGGGACUGCGUUUGCACUCUCCCCUG